rnacentral:tRNA from 1 species
GGUUUAGUAGUUAAGACACCAGAUUAAAAAUCUGGAGACCAUGGGUUCUAGUCCCUC